rnacentral:lncRNA from 1 species
CGGGGGUUUAGCUCAGUGCACCGCGCCUGCCUCGCAAGCGCAAGGUCCUGAGUUCGAUCCCCGAUCUAAAAAAAUAAAUCACACAGCAGCAUCUUUUACAUCUUAACAGUGGAAUGAGAAGCGCUUUGUUUUCUAUUAAAACAGCAACAACAAAACCAGCCCAAGGCUCAGUGUGGACAGCUGUGGAGUACAUUUCCUCCCAGCGCCCUUGACAUUGUUCCACCGGAAGUUGCCUCCUCCCCUCACCCGGAAGCGGAAGCGCAAGCGUGGCUGUUGUUAAUUUGACGUCUCCGGAGCUGCCCGGCCCAGGAUGGUUGGAAGGGACUGCCGCUUUGCUACUACCAGAGCCAAGUACUUGCAUUGUGAAGAGAGAGCCAAGGGACCACUUCCAAAGCCGGCUACAAUUGUGCCUCCUGCUACAUAGUCUCGUGUCUCCCCUCAAUUGGCUCAUAUUAUGGUUUGGAGCUAGACGUUGCCCCCGCACCUCUUGUGUUCAGAGGCGGGGCUUUUGGAAGGUAACUGUACCCUGGGGCACUAUACCCAUCAGUGGAUUGUGGUUGGUGAGUUCAGAGCUGAUGUGUUGUUGGGAGGUGGGGCCUGGUCAGAGGAGCGGCCCCUUGAGGCGUGAUCUGCAGGGUUUUAUCUCGCUCCCCAAUUCCUCCUCCUCUCUCUGCCUCCUGGCCAGUGUGACAUGAGCAGCGGCUUUCUUUCUCCACACCCUUCCACAAUACUCUUCCUGCUUUGGAGUCAUCCAACUAUGGAGUAAAUUCUAAAAAUCAUGAACCUGAAAAAGCCUUUCUGCUCCUUUAAGUUAUGGGUGUUGCACCUCCCUGAGCUGCUUGGCUCUGGGAAUGCUGUCUGGCCAUACUAGUAAAGGUCUGUUCCGUUUCAAAAAAAAAAAGUUAUGGGUGUCACCCAGGCCAGG